GACGUAGGGCGCGAGCGUUGUCCGGAUUUAUUGGGCGUAAAGAGCUCGUAGGCGGCUCGUUGCGUCGGCUGUGAAACCCGCAGCUCAACUGUGGGCUUGCAGCCGAUACGGGCGGGCUUGAGUUCGGUAGGGGAGACUGGAAUUCCUGGUGUAGCGGUGAAAUGCGCAGAUAUCAGGAGGAACACCGGUGGCGAAGGCGGGUCUCUGGGCCGAAACUGACGCUGAGGAGCGAAAGCGUGGGGAGCGAACAGG
rnacentral:rRNA from 1 species